UUGACCUCGAAUCAGGUAGGAAUACCCGCUGAACUUAAGCAUAUCAAUAAGCGGAGGAAAAGAAACCAACCGGGAUUACCUCAGUAACGGCGAUGGAAAACGGCAAAGGAAAGUAAAA
rnacentral:rRNA from 1 species